GGGCAGAAUGCCUAAUGGCCACCUCUACCGAAAAAGUACUUUAAACUUGUCCUCCUCAAGGCCAAUAUACUGUAUUGACCUUGGUCCUCCUGUAACACAGGAAAUAGACAUUAGUCAAGAGCCAGCGUCCGUCGAAGCAAUACCUUGAGACUUCUACUUUCUUCUCGAAGUGUUGCAUUGCAGAGCAUAAUAGUUUAAUACAUACUACUGUACUUGAUAUUAAAACUGUCAAAUCAAAGGGGAAAUGCUGCCUUCAAAUAGUGAUGUUAUGUAAUCAUUGUUCAGUAACCACGUCGAUGCUUACUGGGUCGCCCCUUAUCACUCCGCCAGUGAAGCCAUUGACCAGCGCUGCCAUUCUAGAUCGUGAUGUCACUCCCAGCAACCUCUCAGCCUAUGACGUCGGAUGUGGUGGUUUCUCUACCUCCUGCUGUUGUGAUGUCAUCUCCAUCUGCGCCUGUGACAUCACAACCUCUUUCUGAGCCGUCGGAGACGUUUCAGGCUAUGGUCGAGAGGCUAGACUUUCCGGAGAGGUAUUCUGCUCUCUCGCACAAGCAGAGUCAUAGAAACGCUUCUUCUUUUCCUUCAAGUAAGAGAUGUAGAGGGAGUAAGCUCUCUCCACCUCCUGCUACUUUGAUUUCCUUCUCCCCCUCGAGUCAAACGGAGAAUUAUGGACUUAGUGGCGUUGUCUUCUGCGAGUGAGAGGAGUGCUUCGCCCACUUCUGUACACAGCCAUGUCUCUCCUUUACAACUACAUGUACGUGACCAUGGACGUGUACGCCUUCCAUCUCCACCGUCUCCAUCUCCUGUACCUGUUCCAGUCCACCAUGAAGAUGAUAAGUCUCCGAUUAAGAGGUUGAAGGCUUCUACUACGACAGUCUCUCCUGCACCUUCCAGAGAUUCUUUUCUCUGCAAACAUGUGUUUGACGGUCGUGAACGUGGGGUGACUGAUCCAAGGACGUGCUUCUUGUUCGCCUAACUUGUCAGUGGCCCGUUACUACUCACUCUGUAGCUCAUCAGUAGCCCCAAAUACUGCUCACUCCGUAAUUCCUUAUAUACAUACAUAUUGUGUUAAGCAUUGAUAGUAUUUUAUUCACAGUUAUACAGGUUGUAAAGGCUUAACUAUCAGCCUUACUUGUCUCUGAAGUUGGUUGCAAGAUUGACAUAAAUAGUGGGUUACUGCUUUUAGAAUAAUAGCCUUGCUGUUUGACUUAGUAGAUUGAAGCAACUGUUCCCUUCUGAAAAUUUUUCCCUUUGAUUGCUCAACAUUUCCGUCCAGACCGCAGACAGUUACCUGCAAAUAUUGAGAAAAUGUAGAUUAAACUUUAAUUUUCUGUUAACAUUCAGGCAAUUUGCAAAUCAUGGAGCCUGCUAGUAUCUUAGUUACUGGUAGAUGUGUCAAUCUUUUUCCCUUUGAUUGCCUAACAAUUCUGUUCAGUCUACCACAGACAGUUAGUUACCUGCAAAUAUAGUGUGCACUAAUAUCUUGGUUAUUGGUAGAUGUGCCUUAUCAUGAAGUAUCUAGAAGUAGUUUUUAGAACAGCUGUUUUAUUAUGCUAAAUGGUAAUGAAUGUUAAUGGAACUUUUAAACUAGGUAAUUUUGCAUUCUUGGAUGAAUUGUUAAAUUUUGAACAAUCUCACAUUCUUUUCUGUUUAUAAUAAAUUGACUUUUUUUGCACUCAAAGUAGUUAAGUAAAUGUCUUCUCCCUGGCCAACUACUGGAACAAAAAUCUGUUACUUCAAAAAGGCUGGGUAAAUUAUCUUGAAAGCUAUUCUACAUGGACUCUAUUCAAAAUUAACCACUCUAUAGUCCUCCCCAUAAACUGCUAUUCCAUUUAUCAGAUCUCUGAAAUAUUUUAUGAAUACUACUGUCUGGUGGCCCCCUGGCCAAAACGAUCUUUCAUAACUUAGGAUGAUCGGAAUGCUGGGGGGAGAGUAAAAUGGCCUUUGCUGAUGUACAGUCCUGUUCAAGUGUAGGAUUGUCAUCAGUUUAUCAUUUUCAUUUCAUUUCUCAUUUUUCCAACUAGCCAUACUUUCAUUUCAGCGCUGAAUGAUCUUAUAGGUUCCAGUGCUUGGGCUAUGCCCUAAAUUCCAUAAUCCAUCCAUCCAUCCAUCCACUACUGUCUGGUUGUAUGGUGUUUUUACGUUGCAUGGAACUAGUGGUUAUUCAACAACGGGACCAACUGCUUUACGUGACUUCCAAACCACGUUGAGAGUGAACCUCUAUCACCAGAAAUACACAUUUCUCGCACAUCAAUGGAAAGGCCGAGAAUCGAACUCGCGGCCAACGAGGUGGCACGCCAACAUCAUACCAGGCACCUCUGUGGCGUGGUUGGUUUGGUGUUUGCUUCUCACCUCUGUGGUCGCGGGUUCGAUUCUCAGCCAUUCCAUUGAGGAGUGAGAGAUGUGUAUUUCUGGUGAUAGAAGUUCACUCUCGACGUGGUUCGGAAGUCUCGUAAAGCCGUUGGUCCCGUUGCUGAAUAACCACUGGUUCCAUGCAACGUAAAAACACCAUACAAACAAACAACACCAUACCGACCACGCCUCGGAGGAUGAAUACUACUGUACUUACUAUCUGAUUAAUGCUCAUGCUCUAACAAUUUCAUAUAUUGUAUAUAGAUUCCAUUAUAUAUUAAUUUAAGAUCAAUCCCAAAACUUGCUUUUUAAUACUAUUCCUAAAACUAAUUAAGACAUCAUGACUCUUGGUGAUUAUUAUAAAUGCCGACAAUUGUUCCUGGUAUUCCUGCAAAAGCAUUCCAUAAUUGACCUUAAAGAGCUAUGCAACCAUAAAAAUUGAGAGUGGAAGAUGGUGACAUUGACAAGAAAGAAUAGAGGGCGAGAUAAUGAAAUAGGUGACUGAGGAAGCAAAGUAAAUAUAAUCUCAAGUUCUUAUAUAUUGUUGGCAGGUAAGGUUCUGGGUGCACAUUUUCAGAAGUGAUUGUUCAUGAACAGAAGUAUGUCACUGCCCUUUCCAUACCCAAACAGAGAAGCAGACAAAUUAGCUCAUAAUUCACUGAAUAUUACAAUAAAGUCAAUCUACUUUCCCCCAAGAGCCUUACCCAAGUGCAGCUGGCACUCGACCCCUUCAGAUGGACAAAGGUAAAUGUUGGAAAUUAUGUACAUAACAGACUCCAUGCAGAACAACGAGCUCAGUGCAACUAUUCAAGAUGAAAAAAUUACACCACUGGAGAAACACAAUCACACGCAUGCAGGAUGAGUAUUAUAGUGAAGCACCCAGAUUGUUAACAAGCCAUACCCUCUACAUCAAAGAUAAGGAAUCUGCAGAAACAGCACGUGUAAAGAUCAAAGAAGCAAACCUGUUAUUUGAUUUUGAGUAAAUUUGA